rnacentral:rRNA from 1 species
UACGUAGGGUGCGAGCGUUAAUCGGAAUUACUGGGCGUAAAGCGUGCGCAGGCGGUUUUGUAAGUCAGAUGUGAAAGCCCCGGGCUCAACCUGGGAAUGGCGUUUGAAACUACAAGGCUAGAGUGUGUCAGAGGGGGGUAGAAUUCCACGUGUAGCAGUGAAAUGCGUAGAGAUGUGGAGGAAUACCGAUGGCGAAGGCAGCCCCCUGGGAUAACACUGACGCUCAUGCACGAAAGCGUGGGGAGCAAACAGG